rnacentral:rRNA from 1 species
UACGUAGGUGGCAAGCGUUGUCCGGAUUUACUGGGCGUAAAGAGCGCGCAGGCGGUCGUUCAAGUCGCGUGUGAAAGCCCCCGGCUCAACUGGGGAGGGUCACGCGAUACUGAUCGACUCGAAGGCAGGAGAGGGUAGUGGAAUUCCCGGUGUAGUGGUGAAAUGCGUAGAUAUCGGGAGGAACACCUGUGGCGAAGGCGACCCCCUGGUUGGAUACUGACGCUGAGACGCGAAAGCGUGGGGAGCAACAGG